GAUCCCCAUGGACUGACAUGUCUGAAGGAGACUUGAUACGAUGGAGAUUAAUGUCACCACACUUUUACCUCUACGUAUAACUUGCGAGCUUCUAAGGUCACUCAGAAGUUGAAUUGUCACAUACUAUGUGACAUAGUCAUAAAUUGAACAUGGCUACUUAUAGCUAGGUAAAAUAUACAGUAUGUUUUCCUGUGUUUAUGUCUGUUUUGUCAUGCUCCCAUCAAAACCACAGAGAUUGAUCUGCACAUAUGUUUUGCAAGCAGCCACAAUAUAUUAAUAUUAGUGCAGAUUCAGUGUCCCUGUACUAUUCGUCCCAUCUGUUUAUCUUGUUAAUCAUGUCAGCUUCACUCUUUUCUCUUUUGUUGGAGCCACAUGAUGCAUGUACCAUGAACUGUGCCUGCUGUCUACUACGGUUCCAGAGUGUGUGGUUCCUGGGCCCCUCUGUCAGAGCAGCUGUCCAACAUGCUACCCUGAGUCAGACAGCCACAGCAUUUUCCCUAAUUACACUACACAACACCUGUGGCCAGGCACUGAGGCGUGCCUCAACAUGGCAGCCCUGGAUGUUAUAAGAGCCAGCUCGUACCCACAGACCUAAGAGGACGAGGAUAGAAUAAAUGACAAGUCACUGAUAACUCAUGAUGACCUGUUUGAGAGGGUGGCCAGGAAGGCCAAGACUAAAGCCACCUUCAACGGAGUGGUGGAUGUCUUCAGUAAGAGGGGCAUAUGGCGUCGAGGUCACGUAGAGUUCAUUUACGCAGCCUUGAAGAAGGUGCCAGUUCGGUGUGGAACGGGACCGUACAGCUUACAACAAGCUGUUGGAUGUUUUCCCCAAGGAGGUGUUUGUGCCCAGGAACUUUAUCCAGUGCAUGUUCAACCACUACCCCCGACAGCAGGAGUGUGGGGUGCACCUGCUGGAACAGAUGGAGAACUAUGGUGGUUGGGGGGGUGGGGGGGGGGCAGUGGUGUGUUUGUGUUGUGUGUUUACUGUUUCCCCUACGAUUUUUUUCAGCAGCGGUGGCAAAGUUAGCAUAGGGACAAGCUAGUGGGCGUGGCCAAUUGCGUGGUCUCCGACCAAAUAUUUGAAUGACCCUCUUGGCCUCUUGGCCUUAAAAAUAUAUAGGUCCAUUAUCUUUUCUACAUACUUUAUAUCUGGUUUUAGUCGUUUAUAUUUAUACUGACAACAUUUUACCAAACCCCACAUUGUUUUUUUUAUUUAUUAUAUUUCGUGCGGCAACAAUUUAGCAGCGGUUGCCCGCCCCUGCUAAAUGAAUAUAGGGGUAACACUGGUGUGUGUGAGAGAGCGAGAGAGCGCGAUUUGUCCCACAGUUUUCAGAACAGUGGCUCUCAAACCAUUAAAAUAUGAAGCUAGAGAUUUCAUUGACA